UUGCCUUGGGAAGAAUGUCAAAAAUGACUCCACCAAUUUAUUUACUUGCCUCUCCAGAGGGGACUCUCUGAACUAUGUUUCUAUUUUGAUGCAAUUUCCUUUUAUCUCUCUGAUUUCUAGUCUCAUUUCUAGUGAAAAUGUCAAUACUGGCAUGGCUUAGCUCCUUUAGUAACAUUUCUCUUCAUUGGUCAUUAGACAGGGGAGUCACUGUGUUUGGCAUAUAGAGUUGGCACUGAGCAAAUGUUGAUUAAAUACUAGUGUGACAAACCCAAUCCUAAUUAAGGUAACAGGUGUAUGGGUGUCAAAUGAGGACUAGUGCCUCUGGGGUGAGGGCUUGCAAAGCCCUUUUGGGGGCUGCUGGUACACUUUUGGUGUUCAUCUGGCACUCAACUCUCAGUUGUGACUCCAAAGGGUUGUAGCAUUUACUGUGGCAACACCCCAGUAAACCAUCCCCGCAGAUGGGCUAAACCAGGGUGAGAGUAACCUAUGUGCCACAAACCCAUAAGGGAGUUAUGGGCUAUGCAUCCCAAGCAUAUGACAAUUUCCCUUGGCAGACUGGGAAGAUGAGAACAAUUUGUUCCAAUGGCCAUGAAGGCAGUGGAAGCAGACCCUGUGGAAGACAUAGAGCUUGGCCAGACACUGAAGAUGCCAAGGUCCACUCACUGCAUUCCAGACUUUUAGCUCCUCAGGACCUUUGACAGCCCCCGAAGGACUCUGUCGGCUCUGAGGAGAGGUCCACGGCACGGAGCCUUGGGGGGCAUCUGUUGCGCUGUGCAUCGAGAGGGAAUGUUGAUGUGUAAAAGCUUUCAAGGCUCUUCUCACCCCUUCAGUUUACACCAAGCCUGGCUAUUAAAAC
rnacentral:lncRNA from 1 species